CGGAGGAUCCAAGCGUUAUCCGGAUUCAUUGGGUUUAAAGGGUGCGUAGGCGGAAUGAUAAGUCAGUGGUGAAAUCCCUUCGCUUAACGAAGGAACUGCCAUUGAUACUGUCAAUCUUGAGUACAUUUGAUGUGGGCGGAAUGUGUCAUGUAGCGGUGAAAUGCUUAGAUAUGACACAGAACACCGAUUGCGAAGGCAGCUCACAAAACUGUAACUGACGCUGAGGCACGAAAGCGUGGGUAUCAAACAGGAUUAGAUACCCUGGUAGUCCACGCUGUAAACUAUGAUUACUCGAUGUUUGCGAUACACUGUAAGCGUCUAAGCGAAAGCGAUAAGUAAUCCACCUGGGGAGUACGCUCGCAAGAGUG
rnacentral:rRNA from 1 species